UAUGGUGCAGUUGAUUGGCUAAGAAUUAAAAAAAAUGGGUUUCUUGGUCGUGAGAUAAAAAUAAAAUAAAACCCAUACCAUAGUCACUGAACAAUACAAAAGAUAAGAAACACGUGAUAUUGACUCUGUACUGAGGUAUAUAUAUGGCUGUGAGACUUAAACAGCAUUCUAAGAAACAUGAAGUUCGCUAUCCUCCUCGUCUUCGCAGCCCUCCUGGUGGCCUCCCAGGCAGCCCACGAAGUCUGUGGCACAGGCUGUGUCGCUGCUGGCGCUAACGAAAUCACCUUCUGCCAGAACCUCUGCACCAGCUGUGCUGGACACGUCCAUUGUAACAAACACAAUGAUGAGUGCGAGUGUCACGGAAAUGACCAUACUCACAAGGCA